rnacentral:rRNA from 1 species
UACGUAGGGGGCUAGCGUUGUCCGGAUUUAUUGGGCGUAAAGAGCGUGUAGGCGGCCUGGUAGGUCUGCUGUGAAAACUCGAGGCUCAACCUCGAGAUGUCGGCGGAAACCAUCUGGCUAGAGUCCGGAAGGGGAGAGUGGAAUUCCUGGUGUAGCGGUGAAAUGCGCAGAUAUCAGGAAGAACACCUAUGGCGAAGGCAGCUCUCUGGGACGGUACUGACGCUGAGACGCGAAAGCGUGGGGAGCGAACAGG